GUAGGUGAACCUGCGGAGGGAUCAUUA
rnacentral:ncRNA from 33 species